AUGAUCAAGAAUGAUAUUUGACAUGUUUGUCCAUCUGUCACGUGCAUCAACCACAUUAGUAUAUAUAUAUUUAUCUUUAUAUCAUAUUGGAAUCAAUCAUCUAACAAACAAACUGCUCGUUUUCGACAUAUACCUCCGUUACAACAAUGGUGAAUUGGAAAAUUGAUAAUGGCAAACUGAAUAUCCAAGGGAUUGAAGAUUUUGAAUAUGCUAAAAGCUCCUUGCAGUAUAAGAAGAUCGAGAAAUCUGAAGAAUGUAAACGGAAUGAGAAAACUAUGGCAGAAAAAGAUGUCAUGAUCAAGAACUUGGAGGAUUUCGGAGCUUGUGGAAACCGGAAAAGAACUGGUAUAAUGUAACAGUCCUAGAAAAAACUAAAUCAGGUUACAAAGUCGUAUUUGCAGACGACAACAUAGUAAGAGUGUUAAGUCUACAGAAUCUACGAAAAAAGACAUCGAGAUGGAUUCAGCUGAAGGUGUUUUGUUGAACAAAACACUUUCAUAUAUAUAUGAACUUACAAGAAACUCACAAGUCAUCUGAUAAUGUUCUCAAAACAGGAUAUAAUAAACAAUAUCAACAACACAAGGAAGCUGUAUUUCCUUGUCCUUGAACAAAAGACAUUUCACAUCAGUCAAAUGAUCCUAUAUAUCUAUACAUGUAAACAAGAAUGAACAAGGUUAUAUAUAUUGUUUAAUUUAUAUUAGGACAUUAUCAUGAUAUCUUAAUGAUAAAAAAACAAACAUUCACAGAAUAAGCUUGUUUGGUCUGAAUGUGCUUGUAAUUUAAUAUGACAAACUGUAUGUAGAAUAAGAAGUAAUUAUCACACCAUCAAUGAGACAACACCAAUGACGAAAAUAAAUAGAUGAAAAAGUAUACAAAAAUCAUCAACAAUAGAUAGAUGUGCAUAGAACAAGUUAUAAAUCGCCAAGUGUGUUUCAAUAUUAUGCACAUAAAGCUGUUCAAUAUAGUUGCAAUAUUAAAACAUGUAACAAUGUGUCAUAGAGCACUCUUUAUAGUCAUUAGUAAACACAAUCUUAGCAUAUUAAAAUUUAUGAUGAUGUACUUACAAACAUUUUAUUUUUCGUGCAAGUUAUUGAGUUCCAUCAUCAACAGAAUUACUUUUAUAAAUUCACUAAAACAUCA